GAUGAACGCUGGCUACAGGCUUAACACAUGCAAGUCGAGGGGAAACGGCAUUGAGUGCUUGCACUGAAUGGACGUCGACCGGCGCACGGGUGAGUAACGCGUAUCCAACCUUCCCGUUACUGCGGGAUAACCUGCCGAAAGGCAGACUAAUACCGCAUGUUCUUCGAUGACGGCAUCAGAUUCGAAGCAAAGAUCCGUCGGUAACGGAGGGGGAUGCGUCUGAUUAGCUAGUUGGCGGGGCGACGGCCCACCAAGGCGACGAUCAGUAGGGGUUCUGAGGGGAAGGUCCCCCACAUUGGAACUGAGACACGGUCCAAACUCCUACGGGAGGCAGCAGUGAGGAAUAUUGGUCAAUGGGCGGAAGCCUGAACCAGCCAAGUAGCGUGCAGGAUGACGGCCCUACGGGUUGUAAACUGCUUUUAUGCGGGGAUAAAGUGAGGGACGCGUCCCUUUUUGCAGGUACCGCAUGAAUAAGGACCGGCUAAUUCCGUG
rnacentral:rRNA from 1 species